GAUCCCAUAUUCCAGACCAGUGCAGUUGCGAAGAAACUGAAACCUUUCUCUGAAGUUUCGACAAAAAGGUUCCUGGUGGUCCAGUGGUGACUUACCUAGUAUGGCGGCUCUGGCAGCUCCAGCAGUGUCUUCAGGCUCUAGCAGUGACGUCGUAAUGACUUGCUGGAAUUAUAGUUGGACAACAUGCCAGUAACUAUCAACAAAACGAUGAGCAAGAUAAUCGCCAACAUGAAAAAAGAAAAUAAAACCAUCAAAGAGAUCCAUGCAUGGCUCAAGGAAAGUGGCAUUAUAGUCACUUUAGAAACAGUGCGCUAUCAUGCAUUCGAGAGAACAACGCCCAGAUUUGUAUUUCCUACAAAAUGCACAUGGAGAGUGCAACAAAUUGUGGAGGAACUAACUCGUGAGGAUGAUGAGCGUACUGCUCUGCAAAUAAAACGAAUUCUCCAUUCCAAGUAUGACCUGGACAUAUCGGCCACCAGCAUCAGAAGGAUGCGACGGAAAAUGGGAUGGACCUUUGG